GGGUUGUGAGGUUAAGCGACUAAGCGUACACGGUGGAUGCCUAGGCAAUCAGAGGCGAUGAAGGACGUGCUAAUCUGCGAUAAGCGUCGGUAAGGUGAUAUGAACCGUUACAACCGACGAUUUCCGAAUGGGGAAACCCAGUGCAAUUCGUUGCACUAUCGUUUGAUGAAUACAUAGUCAAACGAAGCGAACCGGGGGAACUGAAACAUCUCAGUAUCCCGAGGAAAAGAAAUCAACCGAGAUUCCCCUAGUAGCGGCGAGCGAACGGGGAGCAGCCCAGAGUCUUAAUCAGCAUUAGCAUCAGGAGAACGGUCUGGAAAGUCCGGCAGUAAAGGGUGAUAGCCCCGUAUCCGAAGGUGUUAGUGUUGUGAACUCGACGAGUAGGGCGGGACACGUGUUAUCCUGUCUGAAUAUGGGGGGACCAUCCUCCAAGGCUAAAUACUCCUGAUUGACCGAUAGUGAACCAGUACCGUGAGGGAAAGGCGAAAAGAACCCCGGCGAGGGGAGUGAAAUAGAACCUGAAACCGUGUACGUACAAGCAGUGGGAGCCUUGAUUUAUCAGGGUGACUGCGUACCUUUUGUAUAAUGGGUCAGCGACUUAUAUUCUGUAGCAAGGUUAACCGUAUAGGGGAGCCGUAGGGAAACCGAGUCUUAACUGGGCGAAUAAGUUGCAGGGUAUAGACCCGAAACCCGGUGAUCUAGCCAUGGGCAGGUUGAAGGUUGGGUAACACUAACUGGAGGACCGAACCGACUAAUGUUGAAAAAUUAGCGGAUGACUUGUGGCUGGGGUGAAAGGCCAAUCAAACCGGGAGAUAGCUGGUUCUCCCCGAAAGCUAUUUAGGUAGCGCCUCGUGAACUCAUCUUCGGGGGUAGAGCACUGUUUCGACUAGGGGGUCAUCCCGACUUACCAACUCGAUGCAAACUACGAAUACCGAAGAAUGUUAUCACGGGAGACACACGGCGGGUGCUAACGUUCGUCGAAGAGGGAAACAACCCAGACCGCCAGCUAAGGUCCCAAAGUCAUAGUUAAGUGGGAAACGAAGUGGGAAGGCUCAGACAGCCAGGAUGUUGGCUUAGAAGCAGCCAUCAUUUAAAGAAAGCGUAAUAGCUCACUGGUCGAGUCGGCCUGCGCGGAAGAUGUAACGGGGCUAAACUAUGCACCGAAGCUGCGGCAGCGAUAUGUAAAUAUUGUUGGGUAGGGGAGCGUUCUGUAAGCCUGUGAAGGUGUGCUGUGAGGCAUGCUGGAGGUAUCAGAAGUGCGAAUGCUGACAUAAGUAACGAUAAUGCGGGUGAAAAACCCGCACGCCGGAAGACCAAGGGUUCCUGUCCAACGUUAAUCGGGGCAGGGUGAGUCGACCCUAAGGCGAGGCAGAAAUGCGUAGUCGAUGGGAAACGGGUUAAUAUUCCCGUACUGGUGAUAAUUGCGAUGGGGGGACGGAGAAGGCUAGGCUAUCCGGGCGACGGUUGUCCCGGUUUAAGGAUGUAGGCAGGUGAAUUAGGCAAAUCCGGUUCACUAUAUGCUGAGGUCCGAUGACGAGUCACUACGGUGAUGAAGUAGCUCAUGCCCCGCUUCCAGGAAAAGCCUCUAAGCUCUAGAUUAUCAUUAAUCGUACCCCAAACCGACACAGGUGGUCAGGUAGAGAAUACUCAGGCGCUUGAGAGAACUCGGGUGAAGGAACUAGGCAAAAUGGUGCCGUAACUUCGGGAGAAGGCACGCUGGCAUUAGGUGAAGUGAUUUACUCAUGGAGCUGAAGCCAGUCGCAGAUACCAGCUGGCUGCAACUGUUUAUUAAAAACACAGCACUGUGCAAACACGAAAGUGGACGUAUACGGUGUGACGCCUGCCCGGUGCUGGAAGGUUAAUUGAUGGGGUUAUCCGUAAGGAGAAGCUCUUGAUCGAAGCCCCAGUAAACGGCGGCCGUAACUAUAACGGUCCUAAGGUAGCGAAAUUCCUUGUCGGGUAAGUUCCGACCUGCACGAAUGGCGUAAUGAUGGCCAGGCUGUCUCCACCCGAGACUCAGUGAAAUUGAACUCGCUGUGAAGAUGCAGUGUACCCGCGGCAAGACGGAAAGACCCCGUGAACCUUUACUAUAGCUUGACACUGAACAUUGAGCCUUGAUGUGUAGGAUAGGUGGGAGGCUUCGAAGCGUGGACGCCAGUCUGCGUGGAGCCAACCUUGAAAUACCACCCUUUAAUGUUUGAUGUUCUAACGUUGCCCCAUUAUCUGGGGUGCGGACAGUGUCUGGUGGGUAGUUUGACUGGGGCGGUCUCCUCCCAAAGAGUAACGGAGGAGCACGAAGGUUGGCUAAGCAUGGUCGGACAUCAUGCGGUUAGUGCAAAGGCAUAAGCCAGCUUGACUGCGAGAGUGACGGCUCGAGCAGGUACGAAAGUAGGUCUUAGUGAUCCGGUGGUUCUGAAUGGAAGGGCCAUCGCUCAACGGAUAAAAGGUACUCCGGGGAUAACAGGCUGAUACCGCCCAAGAGUUCAUAUCGACGGCGGUGUUUGGCACCUCGAUGUCGGCUCAUCACAUCCUGGGGCUGAAGUAGGUCCCAAGGGUACGGCUGUUCGCCGUUUAAAGUGGUACGCGAGCUGGGUUUAGAACGUCGUGAGACAGUUCGGUCCCUAUCUGCCGUGGGCGUUGGAAGAUUGAAAGGGGCUGCUCCUAGUACGAGAGGACCGGAGUGGACGCACCACUGGUGUUCGGGUUGUCAUGCCAAUGGCAUUGCCCGGUAGCUAAGUGCGGAAGAGAUAACCGCUGAAAGCAUCUAAGCGGGAAACUUGCCUUGAGAUGAGUCUUCCCUGACCCUUUAAGGGUCCUAAAGGAACGUUUAAGACUAAGACGUUGAUAGGUUGGGUGUGUAAGCGUAGCGAUACGUUGAGCUAACCAAUACUAAUGAACCGUGAGGCUUAACCUGACAACACCGAAGGUGUUUUAG
rnacentral:rRNA from 1 species